rnacentral:rRNA from 1 species
GACGAACGCUGGCGGCGUGCUUAACACAUGCAAGUCGAACGGAAAGGCCUUUUCGGCGGUACUCGAGUGGCGAACGGGUGAGUAACACGUGGGUGAUCUGCCCUGCACUCUGGGAUAAGCCUGGGAAACUGGGUCUAAUACCGGAUAGGACCGCACUUUAGUGUGUGUGGUGGAAAGUUUUUUCGGUGUAGGAUGAGCCCGCGGCCUAUCAGCUUGUUGGUGGGGUAAUGGCCUACCAAGGCGGCGACGGGUAGCCGGACUGAGAGGUUGGUCGGCCACAUUGGGACUGAGAUACGGCCCAGACGCCUACGGGAGGCAGCAGUGGGGAAUAUUGCACAAUGGGCGCAAGCCUGAUGCAGCGACGCCGCGUGGGGGAUGACGGCCUUCGGGUUGUAAACUCCUUUCGCCAGGGACGAAGCGUUUUGUGACGGUACCUGGAGAAGAAGCACCGGCUAACUACGUG